GGUUGUUUAGCUUAAUGGUAGAGCACUCAGCCAUUAUCUGAGAGUAUGGGUUUGAGUCCCAUAGCCAUCU
rnacentral:tRNA from 1 species